rnacentral:rRNA from 1 species
UACAGAGGUCUCAAGCGUUGUUCGGAUUCAUUGGGCGUAAAGGGUGCGUAGGCGGCGGGGCAAGUCUGAUGUGAAAUCCCGGGGCUCAACCUCGGAACUGCAUUGGAUACUGCUCUGCUUGAGUACUGGAGAGGAGACUGGAAUUUACGGUGUAGCAGUGAAAUGCGUAGAUAUCGUAAGGAAGACCAGUGGCGAAGGCGAGUCUCUGGACAGUUACUGACGCUGAGGCACGAAGGCCAGGGGAGCAAACGGG